GAUGUACGCUGGCGGCGUGCCUAAUACAUGCAAGUCGAGCGAACAGACAAGGAGCUUGCUCCUUUGACGUUAGCGGCGGACGGGUGAGUAACACGUGGGUAACCUACCUAUAAGACUGGGAUAACUUCGGGAAACCGGAGCUAAUACCGGAUAAUAUUUCGAACCGCAUGGUUCGAUAGUGAAAGAUGGUUUUGCUAUCACUUAUAGAUGGACCCGCGCCGUAUUAGCUAGUUGGUAAGGUAACGGCUUACCAAGGCGACGAUACGUAGCCGACCUGAGAGGGUGAUCGGCCACACUGGAACUGAGACACGGUCCAGACUCCUACGGGAGGCAGCAGUAGGGAAUCUUCCGCAAUGGGCGAAAGCCUGACGGAGCAACGCCGCGUGAGUGAUGAAGGUCUUCGGAUCGUAAAACUCUGUUAUUAGGGAAGAACAUACGUGUAAGUAACUAUGCACGUCUUGACGGUACCUAAUCAGAAAGCCACGGCUAACUACGUGCCAGCAGCCGCGGUAAUACGUAGGUGGCAAGCGUUAUCCGGAAUUAUUGGGCGUAAAGCGCGCGUAGGCGGUUUUUUAAGUCUGAUGUGAAAGCCCACGGCUCAACCGUGGAGGGUCAUUGGAAACUGGAAAACUUGAGUGCAGAAGAGGAAAGUGGAAUUCCAUGUGUAGCGGUGAAAUGCGCAGAGAUAUGGAGGAACACCAGUGGCGAAGGCGACUUUCUGGUCUGUAACUGACGCUGAUGUGCGAAAGCGUGGGGAUCAAACAGGAUUAGAUACCCUGGUAGUCCACGCCGUAAACGAUGAGUGCUAAGUGUUAGGGGGUUUCCGCCCCUUAGUGCUGCAGCUAACGCAUUAAGCACUCCGCCUGGGGAGUACGACCGCAAGGUUGAAACUCAAAGGAAUUGACGGGGACCCGCACAAGCGGUGGAGCAUGUGGUUUAAUUCGAAGCAACGCGAAGAACCUUACCAAAUCUUGACAUCCUUUGACAACUCUAGAGAUAGAGCCUUCCCCUUCGGGGGACAAAGUGACAGGUGGUGCAUGGUUGUCGUCAGCUCGUGUCGUGAGAUGUUGGGUUAAGUCCCGCAACGAGCGCAACCCUUAAGCUUAGUUGCCAUCAUUAAGUUGGGCACUCUAAGUUGACUGCCGGUGACAAACCGGAGGAAGGUGGGGAUGACGUCAAAUCAUCAUGCCCCUUAUGAUUUGGGCUACACACGUGCUACAAUGGACAAUACAAAGGGCAGCGAAACCGCGAGGUCAAGCAAAUCCCAUAAAGUUGUUCUCAGUUCGGAUUGUAGUCUGCAACUCGACUACAUGAAGCUGGAAUCGCUAGUAAUCGUAGAUCAGCAUGCUACGGUGAAUACGUUCCCGGGUCUUGUACACACCGCCCGUCACACCACGAGAGUUUGUAACACCCGAAGCCGGUGGAGUAACCAUUUGGAGCUAGCCGUCGAAGGUGGGACAAAUGAUUG
rnacentral:rRNA from 4 species